AUGAGGAGGAUGAGACCCCCGGGCGGCUCACCCAGACCUGGGGCAAUGGCGGGGGGCUCCUGCCAGGACCCCCCCCCCUUCUGGCGGUCCCCACAUCCCUGCCGGGAGGAGGAGGAGGAGGAGCCGGAUGAAGGCUGGACCCCCAUCGCCCCCCCUGCCUUCAGCCCAGACCCCCCACCAUGGGGACCCCCUCAAUCCAGAGACCCCAGCGGGCCCCCCCGCGCCCCCCGACCCCCUCGGACCCCCAAAAUCUGGAGAAGUGAGACCUCCUGGGUCCCCCCGGAUCCCUCCAGACCCCCGUGGGAUGCCCCAAGAGCCCCUUGGGAUUCCCCAGACCCCGCCCGAGCUCCCCUGAUCCCACCCAAACCUUCCCAGGCCCCCCAAAUCUGGAGCCCAGAGCCCCGCAGGGCCCCCCCGGACCCCCCCAGACCCCUCUGGGAGCCCCCAAACCCACCGAGACCCCUGUGGGACCCCAGACCAUGGAGCCCGGACCCGCCCCGGGCUGCCCUGGACCACCCCAGACCUCCCCGGACUCCCCAACUCUGGAAUCUGGAGCCCCCUAGGGCCCUUCUAGAUGCCCCGAGACCCCUGUGGGACUCCCCAAGACCCCACUGGGAACCCCCAGAUGCCCCUAGACCCCUCUGGGAUUCCCCACACCCCCCCUGGGCCCCCCUAGACCCACCCAGAUUCCCCCAGACCCCCCAACUCUGGAGCCCAGAGUCCACCUGGCACCGCCCAGCCCCCCCCCGACCACCCAGGGAAUCCUCCAGACCCCCACGGGACCCCCGACCCUGGAGCCCGGAGCCCCCUGAAGCCCCCCAGAACUCGGAACCGUCACGAUGCUGCUGCCAUCGGCUCUGUCGUGACAUAGCCCAGCGCGACCCACUCCGUCACGACCUGCUCCGUGGCCACGCUGCCCGCCGCGAGCCCCCCGGCCACAGCGCUUUCCGUCGCUACCUGCCGCGUCCAGACCCCCCCCACUGCUGCCACCAGGCCCCGAAGCGCCGCCGCCCGGACUGGGGAGGGGUCGGGCGGGGAACCUGGGGGGGGCCCAGCGACGGCCGCCCCUCGCCCCUCCUCCACUCGGGCUGCAGGUGCCCCUGCAGGGGGGGCUUUGAGAUGAGGAGGGGGCUGUGA
rnacentral:lncRNA from 1 species